rnacentral:miRNA from 1 species
AGGUUGGUUGGUGUGCUUAUAAAUGUAUAUGUGUAUAUAUAUAUAUAUAUACACACACACACACACACACACACACACACACACACACACAUAU